rnacentral:rRNA from 1 species
GACGAACGCUGGCGGCGUGCCUAAUGCAUGCAAGUUGAGCGAUGAAGAUUGGUGCUUGCACCAAUUUGAAGAGCAGCGAACGGGUGAGUAACGCGUGGGGAAUCUGCCUUUGAGCGGGGGACAACAUUUGGAAACGAAUGCUAAUACCGCAUAACAACUUUAAACAUAAGUUUUAAGUUUGAAAGAUGCAAUUGCAUCACUCAAAGAUGAUUCCGCGUUGUAUUAGCUAGUUGGUGAGGUAAAGGCUCACCAAGGCGAUGAUACAUAGCCGACCUGAGAGGGUGAUCGGCCACAUUGGGACUGAGACACGGCCCAAACUCCUACGGGAGGCAGCAGUAGGGAAUCUUCGGCAAUGGACGAAAGUCUGACCGAGCAACGCCGCGUGAGUGAAGAAGGGUUUCGGAUCGUAAAACUCGGUUGGUAGAGAAGAACGUUGGUGAGAGUGGAAAGCUCAUCAAGUGACGGUAACUACCCAGAAAGGGACGGCUAACUACGUG